rnacentral:lncRNA from 1 species
AUGGCAGGUCACUGCAUCAAUAAAAAUUUUAUUAGCUGAUGGCGAUGGUUGUUGAAGUGAAGUCUCGACAAUGGUUGAAGAAGCUUUUAGAGCAUGUAACUAGGUAUUUUCUUGUAUAAUUUUUUAGAGAGAGAGAGAGAGAGAGAGAGAGAGAGAGAGAGAGACUCUUAUUGUUGUCUCUACCGAUCGACCUUUGCCAUGAAGGGUGCGCUCGCAUGGCAGGUCACCGCAUCAAUAAAAAUAAAAAUAUUAUUAGCUGAUGGCGAUGGUUGUUGAAGUGAAGUCUCGACAAUGGUUGAAGAAGCUUCUAGAGCAUGUAACUAGGUAUUUUCUUGUAUAAUUUUUUAUAGAGAGAGAGAGACUCGUAUGGUUGUCUCUACCGAUCGACCUUUGCCAUGAAGGGUGCGCUCGCAUGGCAGGUCACCGCAUCAAUAAAAAUAUUUUUAGCUGAUGGCGAUGGUUGUUGAAGUGAAGUCUCGACAAUGGUUGAAGAAGCUUUUAGAGCAUGUAACUAGGUAUUUUCUUGUAUAAUUUUAUCGAGAGAGAGAGAGAGAGAGAGAGAGAGAGAGAGAGAGAGUCUUAUGCUUGUCUCUAGCGAUCGACCUUUGCCAUGAAGGGUGCGCUCGCAUGGCAGGUCACGGCAUCAAUAAAAAUAUUAUUAGCUGAUGGCGAUGGUUGUUGAAGUGAAGUCUCGACAAUGGUUGAAGAAGCUUCUAGAGCAUUUAACUAGGUAUUUUCUUAGAGAGAGAGAGAGAGAGAGAGAGAGAGAGAGAGAGAGAGAGAGAGAGAGAGAGAGAGAGAGAGAGAGAGAGAGAGAGACUCUUAUGGUUGUCUCUACCGAUCGACCUUUGCCAUGAAGGGUGCGCUCGCAUGGCAGGUCCCCGCAUUAAUAAAACAUUAUUUUGUGUCGGUGGGGAGAUGGCACAGGCGAUUGCUCGGCUCUAUCCUCUGAGUGUGUCGUUUCCCUUUUUUUCCUUCUUUUUUUUCCCCACUCUGUCUUGUGUUAUUGGCGGCACUUCAAUUAUAAUUUAUUUAAUUUAUUUCGAUGGAAUCUAUAAAAUAAAAAUUUAGACUGGUUAUUCUUCGUUCGACUACAUUUAUUUAUUGUAAUUUUUUUUUCUAAUGUAGACUCUGGUUAAUUAUAUCAUUGGAGCCGGACCUAUUUAGUGUUAGAUUGAAGCCCGUGCUCGUGGUUUCCGAUCGAGAGCCUGAUGAUGUGGCAGCUUGUGCUUACGUGUGCUGGUGGCGAUUGAAGAUUCUGCUAUGCCAUUAUGCUGGAGAAGAGAUUCUGUUCGGUAGUUGUUUUCAGAGGUAUGUUCUCAAUCCGGAGUGUUAGAUUUUUGAAUUUUCGCAUGUGCAUUGUCCUCGAAGUUGAAGCUUUGACUGCGUAUUUGAAAUUGCAUAUAAGAUGUUCGAUUAUGAGUUCACGAGCUGACUAAUUAUUAAUUAAGUUUUGGUUCAGGUGUGGUACGUGUUCAAUUAAAGUAUUAUUAGCUGAUGGCGAUGGUUGUUGAAGCGAAGUCUCGACAAUGGUUGAAGAAGCUUCUAGAGCAUGUAACUAGGUAUUUUUCUUGUAUAAUUUUAACGAGAAGAGAGAGAGAGAGAGACCGAUAGAGAGAUAGAGAAGUUUGGGGAGAGAGAGAGAGAUAGAGAGAGAGAGAGACUCGUAUGGUUGUCUCUACGAUCGACCUUUGCCAUGAACUCGCAUGGCAGGUCACCGCAUUAAUAAAAUAUUAUUUUUUGUGUCGGAGGGGAGAUGGCACAGGCGAUUUGCUCGGCUCUCUCCUGAGUGUGUCGUUCCCUUUUUUUAUUUUUUUCGCUCCGUCUUAUGUUAAUGGCGGCACUUCAAUUGUAAUUUAUUUCGAUGGAAUCUAUAAAAUAAAAAUUAGACUGGUUACUCUUCCUUCGACUCUGUUGGAGCAGAUGUAUUCAUCUUACAUUUAUUUAUUAGGUUAAAUUACAAAUACCCCCCUGAG